rnacentral:misc_RNA from 1 species
AGUUAUUUCAGCAGCAUUCAUUGCGUUAGGAAGAUCUUGUUUGUUAGCAAAUACUAGAAGCACAGCAUCCCGAAGUUCAUCCUCGUUCAACAUCCUAUGCAAUUCAUCUCUUGCUUCUACAACACGGUCUCUAUCAUUGCUAUCAACCACAAAAAUGAGACCCUGAGUGUUCUGGAAAUAGUGCCUCCACAAUGGACGGAUCUUGUCUUGACCCCCGACAUCCCAAACGGUGAAGCUGAUGUUCUUGUAUUCAACAGUUUCCACAUUGAAACCAAUAGUUGGAAUGGUGGUGACGAUUUCUCCCAGCUUGAGCUUGUACAAUAUGGUGGUUUUACCAGCUGCAUCAAGACCAACCAUCAGAAUACGCAUCUCCUUCUUGGCAAACAACCGGCUGAAAAGCUUCCCGAAUGAUAAACCCAUCUUUUUUUCAAUGCAAUGAUGAAGAAGGAAUCACAGAGAGAGAGAGGGGGGGCAGUAGAUCUAGAAAAAACUGCCCUUUGUAUAUAAUUGACAAGAAAUGGGAACCUUUGGAUGUUCUCUUGUUG